GCCAAGUUCGUCUAAUUUGACGUUUAAGCAAAUUUCAAUAUCAAAAAGUUUGAAGAAGAUUGCAGAGCUCAGAGGGAUUUUUCCUCCCGGAAAUUGAGGUCUAAUGCAUCAGCCAAAGUAAAAGAUCCGGAGACUUUAAACAACUGGAUGUGAAGAAUUGAAGUGUUUCGGUAUGAAACCACGGAGUGGCAUGUUCACCCAAGGAACAUCCAUUUAUAAACACGAAGUUUCAUCGACUAGAAUUCUGUUACGCGUAGAAAUAUUGACGAGGGAUACCGCGGUAACGUUUCAUCGAGAU